GCCGGUGUGUCGGAAUUGGCAGACGAGCGCGACUCAAAAUCGUGAGCCGUAAGGCGUGCGGGUUCGAUUCCCGCCACCGGCACCA
rnacentral:tRNA from 1 species